rnacentral:rRNA from 1 species
UACAGAGGUCUCGAGCGUUAGGCGGAAUCACUGGGCUUAAAGCGUGUGUAGGCGGAUGCCUAAGUACCUUGUGAAAUCCCACGGCUUAACCGUGGAACUGCUUGGUAUACUGGGUGUCUUGAGCCACUCAGGGGCGAGCGGAACAAAUGGUGGAGCGGUGAAAUGCGUAGAUAUCAUUUGGAACACCAAUGGUGAAAACAGCUCGCUGGGGGUGUGCUGACGCUGAGACACGAAAGCCAGGGGAGCGAACGGG